rnacentral:SRP_RNA from 1 species
UGUUGGUUAUUCUGCAAUGUUAAUUCGUUAACUUUGUCAGAUCUGGAAAGAAGCAGCUAUAACGAAUGAUUCAUGUGCUGGAAUGUGACUAACAGGG